rnacentral:rRNA from 1 species
AUUGAACGCUGGCGGCAGGCCUAACACAUGCAAGUCGAGCGGAGCGGCGGACGGGUGAGUAAUGCCUAGGAAUCUGCCCGGUCGUUGCGGCUAACGUCCGGUAACGGGCGCUAAUACCGCAUAUUUCUAGAUGAGCCUAGGUUGGAUCAGCUAGUUGGUGGGGCAAAGGCCUACCAAGGCGACGAUCCGUAACUGGUCUGAGUGGAUGAUCAGUCACACUGGAACUGAGACACGGUCCAGACUCCUACGGGAGGCAGCAGUGGGGAAUAUUGGGCAAUGGGCGAAAGCCUGAUCCAGCCAUGCCGCGUGUGUGAAGAAGGUCUUCGGAUUGUAAAGCACUGUAAGUUGGGAGGCGGUACCAACGGAGAAAGCACCGGCUAACUUCGUGCCAGCAGCCGCGGUAAUUC